rnacentral:rRNA from 1 species
GACGAACGCUGGCGGCGUGCUUAACACAUGCAAGUCGAGCGAGAAAGCUCCUUCGGGAGCGAGUACAGCGGCGAACGGGUGAGUAACACGUGGGCAACCUGCCCAAGGGAGCGGGACAACCCGGGGAAACUCGGGCUAAUACCGCAUGAUGCGUCAUGUCUCAAGGCGUGACGCCAAAAGGUAGCUUCGGCCUCCGCCCUUGGAUGGGCCCGCGGCGCAUUAGCUUGUUGGUGGGGAACGGCUCACCAAGGCGACGAUGCGUAGCUGGUCUGAGAGGACGAUCAGCCACACUGGGACUGAGACACGGCCCAGACUCCUACGGGAGGCAGCAGUGGGGAAUCUUGCGCAAUGGGCGAAAGCCUGACGCAGCAACCGCCGCGU